AAGGCGAGCACUCUAGACGAACUGCCGUUGACAAAACGGAGGAAAGGUGGGGAUGACGUCAAAUCAUCAUGCCCCUUAUGUUCUGGGCUACACACGUGCUACAAUGGCCGGUACAGACGGACGCAAAGCCGCGAGGCGGAGCAAAUCCGAAAAAGCCGGUCUCAGUUCGGAUUGCAGGCUGCAAUUCGCCUGCAUGAAGCCGGAAUCGCUAGUAAUCGCAGGUCAGCAUACUGCGGUGAAUACGUUCCCGGGCCUU
rnacentral:rRNA from 1 species